GAGGCAUAGCUCAGCUGGUUAGAGUGCCUGCUUCACACGCAGGAGGUCGCAGGUUCGAGUCCCGCUGUCUCC
rnacentral:tRNA from 1 species